UACGAAGGGGGCUAGCGUUGUUCGGAUUUACUGGGCGUAAAGCGCACGUAGGCGGAUUGUUAAGUUGGGGGUGAAAUCCUGGAGCUCAACUCCAGAACUGCCUUCAAUACUGGCAAUCUCGAGUCCGGAAGAGGUAAGUGGAACUCCUAGUGUAGAGGUGGAAUUCGUAGAUAUUAGGAAGAACACCAGUGGCGAAGGCGGCUUACUGGUCCGGUACUGACGCUGAGGUGCG
rnacentral:rRNA from 1 species